GGACAAGGGUAAUUGUUGGUGAACAUUUAUCAGUUUUGUUUUUACAGUGAUGUGUCAGGAUCAUCAUCACCAGUGAUGGUAGGUGAUUUAGACUUGUGUCGAUACAGCUACAGCGUUGUGCGGUACACCACCUCCACUGUAUAUUGUGAAGUUAGUGGAGUUAGUGAACUUCGCAGUAAAUACCUGUGAGAUUAUAAUAUCGAAUUUCUAUUGAGUUCGUCUAUACAGUUAUCAAUCAAUGGAGUAACUGUCACAGUCAAUCAAAUGGGCCCAAAGAUUGUAUGGAAUCGGAUCGACAGCACACUUUACCCAACUUGCAUCACUGGCUAUGUGGUAACUGACCAAGAGAACCCAUCCCUCACAACCACUGUUGACUCCAACACAACAUCACUCACAGCUCAAUUAUAGCGCUGCUUCCCCUAUACUGUAUCAGCAUCCCCAACCUACAGUCACACCUCUCAGUGGGACCUCAAGCAUUUCUCUUGUGGACCCAGAUUUCCCUACCCCGAUGCUUACUACAGUUUUAGUCACUGAUGUCAUUGUGCUACGUGUAAAUAUAAAUGUCAAAAGAAACAUUACCACAGACACCAGUCACACUGUCACAAUCACUCUACCCCUCACUCCCUACCAACCCAAGGAGCUGCUCAUCAUCUCAACCGUUGAGCCAUCCAAUGACGAUUGUAACUGUUGCUGCUCUGACAACAAAGAGAGAAGUCAUGGUCAUCAAGAAAGACCUAAUGCAAGUUAGGGUUGACCUAAUGGAAAAACUCACAUGCUCUGUCUGUACAUCUAGACUAAGAAGUACUGAAAACAUUGCCUGACCUAUAAGUGUAUGAUAUGUAAUACAUUAAUUGUUGUCAGCAAAUACUCUUUCAUCAAACUGAGCAAUAUCUUCUUGGUUUUACAUAAUGGUGA